CCAGCUCUUGCGGUUGUCGGCGAGGUUGUCUCUUGUGCGGCCUCUUGGUGUGCAGCGUGAUCCUGGAGCUGGUGCUUCGUGCCGCGCUGGUCAGACGGGCUUGGGUUUGGUGAGUUGCAUGCAGGUAGGUUCUGCUUGGUGUGCUUGUGGGUCGAUGUCCUCUCCCCCAUGGGCCACUGAGGGGCACUCCUCCCGUGUCCCUUUCUGGCAUCCAGCCUCCCUGCCUCCCGAUCUGUGGCGCGGCCGGUAUUGUGAGUGUCCAAACAAGGGGUUGCGCCCUGCCGGGUGGUGGCAGUUGGGGCCGCUGAGGUGCAGGCGGGUCAGGCAUAUUUGCAGGAUCCCCUCAGAGGCGUGGGAGCACCAGUGCUGGUGCCCAGGAUACCUGGCAUUGUUUCCCUCUGUGCUGGUCUCCGGCUCUGCUGGUGGGCCGCUCUGGGGACACGAGGGGGAUUCCUGCUUAAGUGGAGCCGGAUUGCUGGGUGGAUCCAUGCCGCCACCUCUUUGAUCACCAUCAUGUAGGGCCGUCUCUGAGCCUGGAGCUUUAUCCAAAGGCUGGCGCAGAUCUGGUCAUAGAACUCCUGUGAGUGCUUGGGAGGCUUGAUUAGAGUGCGUUUAGUGGUAGGCUGUGUCAGUGCCGCCAUCUUGUG